rnacentral:lncRNA from 1 species
UUUAGAGCUACAUGAUGCAAUGUAAUUUUUUUUUUUCUGGACAGUGAAGCAACAGUUGUUUCUCUCUCAACUAAUUUUUGUUCCAAGACCUCACAAGGCGUGAGGAGAAUAACUUCCUGAGUAAAGAAAGCAUUGAGUGCCUGCAUCUAAAGAUACACAAAUCCAAGAACUUAAUGGGAGGAGGGAGGAGACUAGAGGGAAUGAAAACAGAAGUAAGUCAUUGCUGCUGCAGAGAAAUUAGAAACCAAGACCUUUGUUUUGCUUUCUUUAUUCCUUUAUUCCUUUCUUUCUUUCUUUCUUUCUUUCUUUCACUGUCCCCUCUGUCUAUAAAAAACCAUAUGGACUUAAGUUCAGCUUUCUCCAGCUGGGGAAAAAAAAAUUCUAAAACAUGCUUUCCUUUUCUUUUAAAGAUCUAGGUCACUGAUUGUGGAAGUUGGGAUAUGGAAGAUUCUUAGGAAAUGUUGCUCCAAUAAAUUCUAGUCUGACUUAUUGGGUUGUUGAAUUAUAAAUUCUAUUAAGGCAUAUUUUCCUCUGCUUUUCAACUUCAGCAAGUUUUCCCAGUGUACAAUGCUCAGAUUACACACAAGUGAGCACUAAAGUGGAGACGGCGGGAGGAGGGUAGAUAAGAAUUAGGAGUCACAUCCAGAAAAUUCCUAGAGCCAUGAACCUUAGGGGCACACAAUUAGCAGGCUUCCCGGGAAGGUUAUACAUCAUGCCCAGGACUUUACAUUAAAAUGACUUUUUACUUGAGUCAUUUGUUAGUCCAUUACCAGUUCUCAUAUCAGAUUGCAUUUCAUCUUGUAUUAAAUCAAGGUAAUCUGGCAUGUAAAAAUAGUCUCCUUCAUUUCACUUUCAGCUCUGGGCAAGACUGGAGAUUCCACACAUUUUGCCUCACUCUCCUCCAUGAGGCACGCAGAAGCACAGCAUUUUGCCGAAAGUGCUCAUCGUUGAUUGAAUCCCAGAUUCUCCCACGAGACAUGCAAUGCACAAAUGAAGGCCGAACUGUGUGUACUAAAAUGCUGCUUUUUCUCUUUAGGGUUCCACUCGUUCUCCUUCUGCUACAGUCCUAA